rnacentral:lncRNA from 1 species
GUAGUCCUGUAAGCGCGCGGAGCCCGUCGGGCGCCUAUGGAACUCGACCCGCAGGCCAAAGGGGCUCCGUUGCAAGGAAGAAGUGCGGGGUCCCGCCGCCUCCUAGACCGAGAUCGCGGUGAGCUGGCCGCGGCGCACAAUGGGCACGGCCUGGGCGGCGGCGUCCGUACUAUCGCCCUGUGCCUGCGGAUCCCGGUAACAUUGCGCGGCAGGCCCCAGGCCGGCCUCCCUCAGCUUCGCGGACUGUCUGGGCCGGGGGUCUCAACCUUGACUUCAGGGCCGGGCCGCUGGGGCAGACCCUUAGUGAUGUUCAGGUCCUCUGGGCCCCUGCCAGUCAAGGGACGCUCGUCGCGCGCCAAUUGUUAAGUCUUUCAUUGUUUCUGUAAACCUGCUGACGCCCUCCCAGCGCAUAGGGAGACUGCGCACGUGAGUCCGCCCCCGCGCGCACUGCGGAGAGGUAGAGGCACGAAUGUAGUACAAGGUACAAAAUGACUACUCCAGAGAGGGCCAGAUGACUAAGUCAGCAAACACUUAGGGAACACGACUGUGUCCGCUGCGCGUUUCCCGGAGUAGACACAAGGGUGAAUGAACAAAGAAUGGAUUUCGGUCACUGAAAGUGGAGAGGUAGCCGACUCCGUCCGUGGAGGCCCUUAGCAGAGCUGGAUCUGGUAGUCCCCCGGUCAUGAGGGGAGAUUCUGCUGGAGGAAAGAGGUCUCCAUUCCCACCGUUUGAAAUGUGUAGGAUGCCCUCAGAUUCUUUGGCCCAUUCAUAGGUAUAGCUAUGCUAAAAACGCGGGACCCUACAAUGUACUUAGCACUAGCAGAGAGGGAGUCGAGGAUAUGGACAGAGACUGCACUAGCUCACACAUUAGCAGGCCAGGGUGCGGUGGCUCACCCCUGUAAUCCCAGAACUUUGGAAGGUCAAGGUGGGAGGAAAACUUGAGUCCAGGAGUUCCAGACCAGCCUGGGCAACAUAGGGAGACCCCUUCUCUAUUUUAAAAAUAAUAAAAUAGGGCCGGGUGCGGUGGCUCACACCUGUAAUCCCAGCACUUUGGGAGACUGAGGCGAGUGGAUCAGGAGGUCAGGGGUUCAAGACCACCUAGCCAAGAUGGUGAAACCCCGUCUCUGCUGAAAACUGCAAAAAUUAGCCAGGCGCGGUGGCAGGCGCCUCAAGUCCCAGCUACUCGGGAGGCUGAGGCAGGAGAAUCGCUUGAACCCAGGCAGCAGAAGUUGCAGUGAGCCGAGAUUGCGCCAAUGCACUCCAGCCUGGGUGACGGAGUGAGACUCCGUCUUGAAAAAAAAAAAAAUAAUAAUAAUAAUAAUAAAAUGAAGAAGUAGUUAGCGGUGUCCUUUGGUCCUCAGCUUUGAAGGGCAAGAUCUUAAUUCAGUUCAACUACAGCUAAUCAGAAUUUGGAAGACUAAUUCAAGUCAGUCAAACUCACAAUAGCCCGACACUUAAACCCUGCCAGGGGACAUAGCUCUCUAGGAUUGCAAUGUUCCUAAUCCCUUCCUUCUAUUAAACUACCUAGAAACUGAUUUAGUCAUUAGAAAUUUCUUGGUAUGAUGGCUUUUAAACAUGCCCACAGUUUUUUUUGACAAUCGGCUCCUCAAAAGCAUAGCCAGGCGCGGUGGCUCACACCUGUAAUCCCAGCACUUUGGGAGGCCAAGUCAGGCGGAUCAUCUGAGAUCAGGAGUUCAAGACCAGCCUGGCCAACAUGGCGAAACCCGUCUCUACUAAAAAUACAAAAAUUAGCUCGUCAUGCACCUGUAAUCCCAGCUACUUGGGAAGCUGAGGCAGGAGAAUCGCUUGAACCUGGGAGGUGGAGGUUGCAGUGAGCUGAGAGCGUGCCACUGUACUCGAGCCUGGGCAACAGAGUGAGACUCUAUCUCAAAAAAAAAAAAAAAAGAAAGAAGAAAAAAAGGCCGGUCACAGUGGCUCAUGCCUGUAAUCCCAGCACUUUGGGAGGCCGAGGUAGGUGGAUCAUCUGAGGUCAGGAGUUCGUGACCAGCCUGGCCAACAUGGUGAAACUCUGUCUCUACUAAAAAUACAAAAAUUAGCCAGGCAUGGUGGUGUGUGCCUGUAAUCCCAGCUACUUGGGAGGCUGAGGCAGGAGAAUCACUUGAACCUGGGAAGCAGAGGUUGCAGAGAGCUGAGCUGAGAUUGAGCCACUGCACUCCAGCCUGAGCGACAGAGCGGAACUAUGUCUCCAAAAAAAAAAAAAGCUGGAGUUGGGUGGGUAUGGUGGUUCAUGCCUGUAAUCCCAACACUUGGGAAGCCGAGGCAGGUGGAUCACUUGAGUCCAGGAAUGCCAGACCAGCCUGGGCAACGUGACAAAACCUUGUCUCCACAAAAUAUAUAUAUAAAAAAAAAAUUAGCCAGGCAUAGUGACACACACCUGUAGUCCCAGCUAUUCUAGGAGGCUAAGGUGGGAGGAUCGCUUGAGCUCAGGAGGCAGAGGUUGCAGUGAGCCAAGAUUGUGCCACUACAGCCUGAGCAACAGAGUGAGACUCUGUCUCAAAAAAAAAAAAAGAAAAAAAAAAAACCUGGAGUCUAAUUCUAAUUCCCCUCCCAUUGAGUGUGGGCUGGACUUCACUGACUUUUUAAUAAAUAACAUGGGACAGAAGUGAGUGUAGUUGAUUUCCAAGGCUAGGUCAUAAAAGAUACUGUGACUUCCACCUUGCCCUCAUUUAGAUAACUCAUUCUAGGAAAGCUAGACGCAUAGUAGAGUUGUCAUGUGGUGAGGCCAUUCAAGCAGCCCUAUAGAAAGGCCCACAUGGUGAGGAUCUGAGGCAUCCUACCAGUAGUCAGGAGAGAGAAUCUUCUUGGAGGUGGAGCUUCCAUUCCUGGCGGAACCCUUGACCAAAACCUCAUGAACCACCCUGAGGCAAAACCACCCAGCUAAGUCACUCCUGAAUUCCUAACCCUCAGAAACAGGGAGAUACUGAAGGUUUGUUGUUUUAAGUCAUUACACUUUGGGAUAAUUCGUUAUACAGCAAAAGAUAACUAAUAUUCUUGGUGAUCAGGACUGUGUCAUACUUAGUGUUAUUAAUCUUCAGGAGUUUCAGCCUAAGUCAGCAGUGUUCCCCACAUGGGCCUGCCUUGCUUUCAUUCUUCCUCCAUUGUGGACUGAAUGCCAUAAGACCAUUCCAGCCCAUCCAAAGCAGGAACCAGAAAUGGGCUGGGUUUUGCUGUUGUUUUAGUUGGUUUGGUUUGUUUGUCUGUUUGUUUCGGGGAAAGAUGACAGAAGGUGCACUGUGGGAGAUUCCAACAUGAUUAUUGAAUCAAAGACUGUGUGUGUACGUGAUAAGUCUUUAUUAGAUUCUCUGGGUUCAUAAGCCAGUAAAAGGUAAGAACCAUCCUCUAAGGAGAAAUCUCACAGCUAAGGCUUGCCAUGUUAAAGAGUUUGCACUUCCAGGAACAAGGGCACUCACGUCUACCCUGUGCUAUUCUAGGUGUCUUCCCAUCCUGCCGGAUGCACGGAGCACAUAUUCUGCCACCCCUAGCUCUAUCCUUUGGGCAGUGCUGAAUAAACACUAACAAACUCAGGCUCUGUGGCUGACAUUGUAAGCAGAACCCCUGCCCUGCUGUUGCUUAACGCAUCUUUAUUUUGAUUCCCAGUCAUGUUACGACACAAUCACAUUAAGAUGUUCUUUCGUAUUCAGGUUCAGAAUAUUUGCUCUGCUCACUUGAUUGAAUUUGGAGACUUCCCAAAUCUUUAUAUGAGCACGUCUUCUGAGUUUAUCCAGAUUAUGUUUUGUACCGUCUGUUGUACAAAUGGACCGUGGAUGUUAAUUAGAAGGGCCUCGCCAGUCUUCAAUCACAUGUUACUCGUGGGGUUUGUUAAAUCAGCUUUUGUCUCAGAGAGGGCUUCGGUGCUUGGAUUACACUAUAUUUGGAAUUUGUAGCCUUCUAUGCGCUGACUUGCCCCACCUUGCUACCUGGCUUCAGAGGUCCAGGAUUCUCUAACUUGAGCAUCCAUCAGAAUCACCUGGAGGUCUCCUAAAAACCCAGAUUGAUGGCGCUCCCUUUGGAGUUUGGAUGUGCAUAUCUGAUCAGCUCCCCAGGAUGCUCAUGCUGCUGACCCACUUUAGGAAGCUCUCCUUUAGGAGUUAGCAUGUCUCUGAGCAGACGCUGGACCAGUAUGUUCUGGAGACCAUACACUUCCCAUCCCAGAACAGAUGCUGCUCCCUGUUCUCUAUCCCCAGCCCCCAGCCACACCUAUAUGACCACAGUUCUGUUCAACUGGUGCCCCAGCACUGAUAUCUGUGGGCCCUGCUCAUCUCAAGUGAGCCACAUUUUUCUCCCAGGCCUGCCUUGCUUUCGGUCAUCCUCAGUUGUGGCCCAAACCCCAUAAAACAGCAGCCAUUCCUGGCAGGAAUCCGAGGUGAGCCAGUUCUUUUCAGGAAAGGUAGCAGAACAGAAGAUACACUGUGGGAAGUUCCGGCCUCACACGUGUACAAGCUCGAUGCCCUGGACUCUAAGCUGCUUGAGGGCAGUGUCUCUCUGAUUCACCUGUCUCCCUCACAGUCCUGUCAUGCAGGAUGCCUUGCACAUGAUGGGUGCUCAGUUUACAUUAAUAGGCAGGUGAGGCCAGGCACGGUGGCCUGUAAUCCCAGCACUUUGGGAGGUGGAGGCGGGCAGAUCACCUGAGGUCAGGAGUUCGAGACCAGCCUGGCCAACAAGGUGAAACCACGUCUCUACUAAAAAUCCGAAAAUUAGCUGGGCAUGGUGGCACGCAUCUGUAAUCCCAGCUACUCGGUAGUCCGAGGCUGGGGAAUCGCUUGAAUCCGGGAGAUGGAGGUUGCAGUGAGCUGAGACCGUGCCACUGCACUCCAGCCUAGGCGACAGAGUGAGACUCCAUCUCAGAAAAAAAAAAAAAAAAAAAAAAGCAAUAGGUGAAUGACUGUUCAUACUCCUACUUUCUCCACAAACUUGCACAAAUGUGUCUGCAUCUAGAUGUCUGUAAACCUGCUAACACCCACACACAUUUUCUAUUAGUUAGGAUUAGGUUUGGCUGUAAGACACAGAAACCUCCAAAGAGCAGUGGCUUAGAUAAGAAAGAAAUGUGUUUCUCUCACAUAAACGAAGUAGUUGGGAGAGAACAACACAGCCUUGGUAUUGUGGUUCCACAAACUUGUUAGGUACCCAGGCUCCUAUUUUGCUCCCUCACGGCCUUCACUGCACAGCUGCCACUUCAUGGUCUAAGAUAGCUGCUCAGGCUCCAGCCCUUAUGUUCACAUUCCAGCCACCAGGAAAGAGACAAAAAGGGGUAUCCCAUUUCCCUACAGGUGCACUUCCAAGGAGUCUCUUAUACCACUUCUGCUUACACCUCAUUGGCCAAAACUUAACCACAUGGUCAUGCCUAGCAGCAAAGAAGGCUAGAAAAUAUAGCCUUAUGACUGGCUAAAAGUCAUGGUUGCUUUUCCACAUGAGAAGGAAUAAAGGAUAAAAGGAGGGAAACUGGCAUAUCCUACCUCACACCAGUAGGAGGCAGACGAAAGAAAAGAGAAGUUGGUUCCCAGUACAGGAAUGGCAGGGAAGCUGUGGCUGGAAGAACAGGGGUGGAGGAUGGCCAACAGGCCACAGAGAGAUGGGCAGGUCCCCCUGGCUGGGGUCAGGAAGGGCUUGCAGGAGGGUUUACUGCUCACUGUCUCUCUCUCUUUCUAUCUCUCUCCAUCUCUCUCAUCACACACAUACACACUCAGUCUUGCUGAGGGAGAAUUCUGAGAAGGUGGAGUUCUCUGUAGGGAAGGGAUACAUAUUUCCUACUAGUCAUGUUUCCCUGAAAAUGGGACUUCUGUUAAUAAUACUCCUGGCCUCUCUCUACCUGGGGAAGAGGAAACGUGAGUUACCUGAGAGAAGCUGGGAAGAAAGAACCAAGCAUACAUGAUUUAGUCCCCUCUCCUCUUUAGGAGCCAGCUGGUCCACCAGAAGUCUGUGUUCUGCCUGUCCCUGCAGCACGGAGGGCUGGGCUUUAUACCUGUGCCAAGGACACCAACGGCAGCAUCAGCAAGUCCGUGUUGUCUCCCAAAUAAGUGGUGUUCUCCAACAAGCUUUUAGCAGUAAUAAAGCUGACAUUUUUAUUCUCAUAUGUCCCUUGUCUCUUUUUCAAUGAUUUAGAUUUAAGCAGGAAAGCCUGGGUUCCUUUUGUGUGUGUGUGACAGGGUCUCUGUCGCUCAGGAUGGAGUGCAGUGGCGCGAUCAAAGUUCACUGCAGCCUUGACCUCAAGCAAUCCUCCCACCUCAGCCUCCAAGUAGCUGGGAUCACAGGCUUGCAUCACCAUGCCCAGCGAAUUUUUUUUUUCUAGACACGGUCUCACUAUGUCACUCAGGCUGGUCUAGAACUCCUGGCCUCAAGUAAUUCUUCUGCCUCCACCUCCCAAAGUGCUGGGAUUACAGGUAUGAGCCACCAUACCUUGCCUUUUUUUUGACAUGGAGUCUGACUCUGUCACCCAGGCUGGAGUGCAGUGGCACGAUCUCAACUCACUGCAACCUCCACCUCCUGGGUUCAAGCGAUUCUCCUGCCUCAGCCUCCAGAGUAGCUGGGAUUACAGACGUGCGCCACCACACCUGGCUAAUUUUUGCAUUUUUAGUAGAGACAAGUUUUCACCAUGGGCUCCAGUUUUACCAUGUUGGCCAGGCUGGUCUUGAACACCUGACCUCAAGUGAUCCGCCCACCUUGGCCUCCCAAAGUGCUGGGAUUACAGGCACGAGCCACUGCACCUGGCCUCUUUUUUUUUUUUUUUUUAAGAGACAAGUUCUCACUGUCGCCCAGGCUGGAGUGCACUGGUGCAAUCCUUCCACAUUAGUUUCCUGAGUAGCUGGGACUACAGGCACACGCCACUGUGCCAGGCUAAUAUUUUUUGGAAAUGGGGUCUCCUUAUGUUGCCCAGGCUGGUCUCAACUCCUGGCCUUAAACAAUCCUCCCGCCUUGGCCUCCGAAAGUGAUUUAUUCCUAAAACUCCAACAGCCUCUUUCCCCACCAGCCCCAUACUAGAGACCCCUACUGCACCUUCCCAUCCCCCGCAGAUGAGCAGAAUAACUGGCGCCUCUGUUGUAAUGAGAGUUCAGGUGCCCAUGCCAUCUCGGGACCGUUCCUCCCUGACUCCCCAGGUCCCUUCUGAAGGCAAGAACCACAGGGAGAACAGAGAAUGCUAAAAGGUGAGCUCAUUCCCUCUGUGGCAUCAAUACCUGACACUUGGUCCUAUCCUGAACAUAAACUCUGCACGUGGCAAGGAAGGCAAAGGCAAGGGGCACUAUGAGAAUGACAAGGCGAAGCGACAGGCAGAGACAGGCCCGAGGGCUCCAGUGGCAAGCUUACACACUGCACGGAUUUUGGGACAAGUUCUUUCAUGUUAUCAAGCCCACCUGUCUCUCCUGCUUAGAAAAAGUCAGGUGCAGGACAUGGCCAUGUUAAUUCUGGGCUGAGGGUAACAAGAUUUUGACUCCCAAACUCUCAGGCCCCUUUAUGGCUGUGCCCAGGCAUUGGGAAAAAGAGGUGAUGAAUGAGGUGCUUCCAAGGCUUGCCAGAGAUAUGUGUGCUAGGGCUGCAGUGGACUGGGGCUGGGGUCCUGGUCAGUAAGCUGGGAUGGUGACCCAGUCUGAGAUGGAAUGUGUGGCCCUGAUUCAUAGGCAGGUGACAUUUAUAGAAAAGAUUAGGCACCUCCCAGGCUGAACACUCUGUCACUGAGCCCAUCCACCCUCACCCUCGGCCUCAACGCUCCUUGCCAUAGCUGGGGGGCAGGGGUGGAAGGGUGACCUUCCAACAUCCUGACCCAUGUAUAGAAGAAAGUAACUCAGGGAGGCCGGGCACGGUGGCUCACGCCUGUAAUCCCAGCACUUUGGGAGGCCGAGGCGGGCAGAUCACAAGGUCAGGAGAUCGAGACCAUCCUGGCUAACACGGUGAAACCCCGUCUCUACUAAAAAUACAAAAAAUUAGCCGGGCGUGGUGGCAGGCACCUGUAGUCCCAACUACUCGGGAGGCUGAGGCAGGAGAAUGGUGUGAACCCGGGAGGUGGAGCUUGCAGUGAGCCGAGGUCGCGCCACUGCACUCCAGCCUGGGCAACAGAGUGAGACUCCGUCUCAACAGAAAAAAAAAAAGGAAAAAGUAACUCAGGGAGCUUCCUGGCCAAACAGACACCGCUCCUCAGCCCAGUGCUCCUGAUGGGGUGCUCCCAUCCCCAGUCCUGCCCAGCUUCUGCCUUUGCCAUGUCCCCCUGUUCCCUUCCUGUGUCAGUACCAUCCUCUCCCCGCCCAUCGUCACUUGCUCCAGGGAACUCUGGCCCAAAAGAGGCCAGCUGGCCCAAAGCGCCUGAAAUGCUGGCAAGGGACAGAGCCCUUGGCACGGUCCCUGUGGAGGGUCAGGCUGGGUCAUGGCUCCAAGUGCAGGCAGAGGAGAGAGCACUAGAGAUUCAGGCUCUGAGUUGCCCCCAGGGCCAGUUGCGCCAGGCUGGCUCCUUCUGCCCAGUCCACUGUAUCCACGUUGAAGACAGGCUGGUUUCUUGUGGGAAAGGGGCAAUAAAAAGGAGAGGAGAGGAGGGAAUAGGAGAAAGGAGAAGCUAGAAAGAAAGAAAGAAAAGGAAAGGCAAGAGAAGCUUGAUCAAGGAAAUUUUAAAACCCAACAGAGAUGAAGAGGAGGGAGGAAGGAAACAUCAGAAACAUCAGUAGACAGAGUUCUUUUUCUUUUCUUUUUCUUUCUUUCUUUUUUUUUUUUUUUAGAGACUGGGUCUCCUUCUGUUGCCCAGGCUGGAGUGCAGUCACUCAGUCUCGACUCACUGCAGCCCCGACCUCCUGGGCUCAAGCAAUCCUCCUACCUCAGCCUCCCCACCACACCCAGCUAAAUUUUGUAUUUUUUGGCAGAUAUGGGGUUUCGACGUGUUGCCCAAGCUGGUCUCAAACUCCUGAGCACAAGCAAUCCACCCGCCUUGGCUUCCCAAAGUGCUGGGAUUACAAGAGUAUGAACCACUGCACCCAGUCUGACAGAGUUCUUUUUUUGUUUGUUUUGUGUUUUGUUUUGUUCUGUUUUUUUUUUGAGACGGAGUCUCACUCUGUUGCCCAGGCUGGAGUGCAAUGGCACAAUCUCGCCUCAGAGCAACCUCCGCCUCCCGGGUUCAAGUGAUUCUCCCCCUUCAGCCUCUGGAGUAGCUGGGAUUACAGUCUCCCACCAUCAUGCCUGGCUAAUUUUUGUAGAGAUGGGGUUUCACCAAGUUGGCCAAGCUGGUCUUGAACUCCUAACCUCAGGUGAUCCACCUGCUUUGGCCUCCCAAACUGCUGGGAUUACAGGCUGGAGCCAGCGUGCCUGGCCCCUGACAGAGUUCUAAGCAUGUGGGAAGCAUGCGAAGUCCACGCAAGUCCCUGGGCUGGGCUGCUAGCCUCCCUGCUUGGUACCUGGUGGCUGUUCCCCAGGAGGGCAGAUAGACUCCCUGCUCUCUGCCCUCUUGUCAUUGUGAGCUCCCUGGCCCAUCCCUAGGCUGCACUGCACUUCCCAGUCAGGGCAGUGCCUGGACCCUCCAAAUACAGCUCCUGCCAUGGCCUCUUCCGAAUCCUAGGGGCAAACGGGGCAUUGAUGCACUUAGCUCAGCCCUCACACUCUCCUGCCACCGACCCUGAGAAGGGGCAGCUGGCACCAGAGAGUCUCUGAGCUGAACCUGGGCUCAUUCUGCAAGAUCCUUCCUAGGGAGACUGGCAUGCAGGCAAGGGGAUCAGCUCCUGAAGGCCCCCAGACUCCCAUAGGAGGGGAGGGAACUCCAGGGAUAGGCAGAGGGAAGGCUCCUGGGGGAGUCAGUUGCCCUCCAGAGCCCAGGCUUACGGGUGGGCUGAGCAGAUGGAGCCACUGCCUGAUGCUGUCUCCCCAUGCCCUGACUCCAAGUGACCCCACUGGCUGCUGCCCCUGUGGCUCCAGCCAUGGAUGGGUCCCAGCCUUUGACUGGCUGCACUUCAUUGUAUUUGAUGGUUACUUUUUGGAGUCAACUUGACUGGAUUGAGGGACACCUAGAUAGCUGGUAAAGCAGUGUCUUGUGAGGCUGCUUCCAGAGGAGACUGGCGUAUGAGUUGGUAGGCUGAGUGGGGAAGACGCCCUGUCAAUAUGGGAGGGUACCAUCCAAUCAGCUGGGAGCCUCGGUAGGACAAAAAGGCAGAGGAAGGGCAAAUUUGCUGUCUCUCUCCUGGAGCUGGGACAGCCUUCUUCUCCUGCCCUUGGACAUCAGAAGUCUAAGGGUCUUGACCUUUAGAUGCUGGGACUUGCACCAGCAGCCCCCCAGGUUCUCAGGCCUUCAGUCUCAGACUGAGUCACACCUUCAGCUCCCCUGGUUCAGAGGCUUUCAGAUUUGAACUGAGCCAUGCUCCCAGCAGCCCCAGGUCUCCAGGCGGCCUGUCGUAGGACUUCUCAGGCCUCCAUAAUCACGUGGAGCCAAUUCACCUAAUAAAUCCCUUCUCAUCUAUCUGUCUGUCUCCUAUCUCUAUCUAUCUAUCUAUCUAUCUAUCUAUCUAUCUAUCUAUCUAUCUAUCUAUCUACCUACCUACCUACCUGCAUGCUAUAGGUUCUGUCUCUCUGGAGAACCCUAAUACGGUUGGGAUGCAAAUUGGAAGGCACACCACCUGUUAAGUAGUCCUGCUGAAAGAAUCAAUCCUAAAUCUUAUCAAGACUUGAGAUCCAGGCGGGGCGCAGUGGCUCAGGCCUGUAAUCCCGGCACUUUGGGAGGCUGAGGCAGGCAGAUCACUUGAGGUCAGGAGUUCAAGACCAGCCUGGACAACAUGGUGAGACCCCGUCUCUACUAAAAUACAAAAAUUCGCUGGGCACGUUGGCUCAUGCCUAUAAUCCCAGCACUUUGGGAGGUGGCUGGAUCACCUGAGGUCAGGAGUUCGAGACCAGCCUGGCCUACUAAAAAUACAAAAAUUAGCCGGGCGUGGUGGUGUGCAUUUGUAAUCCCAGCUACUUGGGAGGCUGAGGCAGGAGAAUUGCUUGAACCUGGAAGGCAGAGGUUGCAGUGAGCCAAGAUGGUGCCAUUGCACUCCAGCCUGGGUGACAAGAGCAAAGACUUCAUCUCAAAAAAAUAAAAAAUAAAAAUAAAAAAAUUAGGGAGGGCGUGGUGGCUCACGCCUGUAAUCCCAGCACUUUGGGAGGCCGAGGUGGGCAGAUCAUGAGGUCAGGAGUUCAAGACCAGCCUAGUCAACAUGGUGAAACCCCGUCCCUACUAAAAAUACAAAAAUUAGCCAGGUGUGGUGGCGCACACCUGUAAUCCCAGCUACUCGGGGGGCUGAGGCAGGAUAAUUGCUUGAACCCGGGAGGCAGGGGUUGCAGUGAGCCGAGAUCGCACCAUUGCACUCCAUCUGUGGGCGACAGAGCAAGACUCCAUCUCGAAAAAAAUAAUAAUACAAAAUUAGCCGGGCAUGGUGGUGUGCGCCUGUGGUCCAGAUGAGGCAGGAGAAUAGCCUG